rnacentral:rRNA from 1 species
CCCUUAGAUGUUCUGGGCAGCACGCGCGCUCCAAUGGUCUUCGCAAACGGAUGCAUUCUCGAAGGAGAAUGCCAAUCUUGGAAUCUAUGCCUUGGUCGGGACAGUUGCUUGCAAUUUUUCGACUCGAACCAGGAAUUCCUUGUAAUCGUGAUUCAUCACAUCACGAUGAAUACGUCCCUGCCCUUUGUACACACCGCCCGUCGCUCCUACCGAUCGAAGAGUUAGGUGAAUUGUUUUGAUCGAUAAGAUUUGACUAUGGUCAACUCUCGUUGUGAAAUUCUGUGAAUCUGACUGUUUAGAGGAAGGAAAAGUCGUAACA